rnacentral:rRNA from 1 species
GGGUUGUGAGGUUAAGCGACUAAGCGUACACGGUGGAUGCCCUGGCAGUCAGAGGCGAUGAAGGACGUGCUAAUCUGCGAUAAGCGUCGGUAAGGUGAUAUGAACCGUUAUAACCGGCGAUUUCCGAAUGGGGAAACCCAGUGUGUUUCGACACACUAUCAUUAACUGAAUCCAUAGGUUAAUGAGGCGAACCGGGGGAACUGAAACAUCUAAGUACCCCGAGGAAAAGAAAUCAACCGAGAUUCCCCCAGUAGCGGCGAGCGAACGGGGAGCAGCCCAGAGCCUGAAUCAGUGUGUGUGUUAGUGGAAGCGUCUGGAAAGGCGCGCGAUACAGGGUGACAGCCCCGUACACAAAAAUGCACAUGCUGUGAGCUCGAUGAGUAGGGCGGGACACGUGGUAUCCUGUCUGAAUAUGGGGGGACCAUCCUCCAAGGCUAAAUACUCCUGACUGACCGAUAGUGAACCAGUACCGUGAGGGAAAGGCGAAAAGAACCCCGGCGAGGGGAGUGAAAAAGAACCUGAAACCGUGUACGUACAAGCAGUGGGAGCACGCUUAGGCGUGUGACUGCGUACCUUUUGUAUAAUGGGUCAGCGACUUAUAUUCUGUAGCAAGGUUAACCGAAUAGGGGAGCCGAAGGGAAACCGAGUCUUAACUGGGCGUUAAGUUGCAGGGUAUAGACCCGAAACCCGGUGAUCUAGCCAUGGGCAGGUUGAAGGUUGGGUAACACUAACUGGAGGACCGAACCGACUAAUGUUGAAAAAUUAGCGGAUGACUUGUGGCUGGGGGUGAAAGGCCAAUCAAACCGGGAGAUAGCUGGUUCUCCCCGAAAGCUAUUUAGGUAGCGCCUCGUGAAUUCAUCUC